GCCAGGGUGAUGAAACUGGCAGACAUGGCGGUCUCAAAAACCGUUGUCCGAAAGGACAUGAGGGUUCAAAUCCCUCCCCUGGCACCA
rnacentral:tRNA from 1 species